ACGGGUGAGUAAUACAUCGGAACGUGCCCAAGAGUGGGGGAUAACGGAGCGAAAGCUUUGCUAAUACCGCAUACGAUCUACGGAUGAAAGCAGGGGACCGCAAGGCCUUGCGCUCAUGGAGCGGCCGAUGGCAGAUUAGGUAGUUGGUGGGAUAAAAGCUUACCAAGCCGACGAUCUGUAGCUGGUCUGAGAGGACGACCAGCCACACUGGGACUGAGACACGGCCCAGACUCCUACGGGAGGCAGCAGUGGGGAAUUUUGGACAAUGGGCGCAAGCCUGAUCCAGCCAUGCCGCGUGCAGGAUGAAGGCCUUCGGGUUGUAAACUGCUUUUGUACGGAACGAAAAGCCUCUUUCGAAUAAAGAGAGGUCAUGACGGUACCGUAAGAAUAAGCACCGGCUAACUACGUGCCAGCAGCCGCGGUAAUACGUAGGGUGCGAGCGUUAAUCGGAAUUACUGGGCGUAAAGCGUGCGCAGGCGGUAAUGUAAGACAGAUGUGAAAUCCCCGGGCUCAACCUGGGAACUGCAUUUGUGACUGCAUUGCUGGAGUGCGGCAGAGGGGGAUGGAAUUCCGCGUGUAGCAGUG
rnacentral:rRNA from 1 species